GUUAUUGGCUACUUACUCAUGAC
rnacentral:siRNA from 1 species